rnacentral:tRNA from 1 species
AGUCAAUAAGUUUUAAUGAAACCUAUACUUUGAAAGUAUAUAAUGAUGGUUUAAUCCAUCAUUGACUU